GGUUGUAGCUCAGUGGUAGAGUGUUUGCCUCACACGUAUGAGGCACUGGGUUCCAUCUCAGCACCA
rnacentral:tRNA from 1 species